GACGAACGCUGGCGGCGUGCUUAACACAUGCAAGUCGAACGGUAAGGCCCUUCGGGGUACACGAGUGGCGAACGGGUGAGUAACACGUGGGUGAUCUGCCCUGCACUUCGGGAUAAGCCUGGGAAACUGGGCCUAAUACCGGAUAGGACUCCGGACUGCAUGGUCUGGGGUGGAAAGCUUUUGCGGUGUGGGAUGGGCCCGCGGCGUACCGGGUUGUGGGGGGGGUGAGGGCCAACCAGGGGGAGGACGGGUAGCCGGCCUGGGAGGGUGACCGGCCACACGGGGACUGGGAUACGGCCCGGACUCCUACGGGGGGAAGCGGUGGGAAAUAUUGCACAAGGGGCGCAAGCCUGAUGCGGGGACGCCGCGGGGGGGAGGACGCCCUUGGGGUUGUAACCUCUUUCAGCAUCGACGAAGCGAAAGUGACGGUAGGUGCAGAAGAAGGACCGGCCAACUACGUGCCAGCAGCCGCCGUAA
rnacentral:rRNA from 1 species